GCAAGGCAAGUCCCCCCCCCAUCGUGAUUGCCGGCUGGGGUAAGUCCCCUGGACUUAAGAGGUUAAGCUUAUCCAGACAACAAUAAUUCAUUAUCAGUGUUUAUUGUUGUGAAAAAAGAGGAGGAGAAAUUUUAGCACUGCUGUACUAUAUGGGCUGUGUUUGAAUAUCUAUGUUAAUCCUCUCCCCCAGAAAAGCAGUGUUAGUAGUUUACUCUUUUACCACUGGCAAUAGAGUAUUUUUUAUUAUAACACAAUUAUAUUGUUUUUGCUGCCCUAAGUG